GUCCAGACUCCUACGGGAGGCAGCAGUGGGGAAUAUUGCACAAUGGGGGAAACCCUGAUGCAGCGACGCCGCGUGAGUGAAGAAGUAUUUCGGUAUGUAAAGCUCUAUCAGCAGGGAAGAAGAAAGACGGUACCUGACUAAGAAGCCCCGGCUAACUACGUGCCAGCAGCCGCGGUAAUACGUAGGGGGCGAGCGUUAUCCGGAUUCACUGGGUGUAAAGGGAGCGUAGACGGCCAUGCAAGCCAGGGGUGAAAGCCCGGGGCCCAACCCCGGGACUGCCCUUGGAACUGCAUGGCUGGAGUGCGGGAGGGGCAGGCGGAAUUCCUGGUGUAGCGGUGAAAUGCGUAGAUAUUAGGAAGAACACCAGUGGCGAAGGCGGCUUUCUGGACUGAAACUGACGCUGAGGCACGAAAGCGUGGGGAGCGAACAGGAUUAGAUACCCUAGUA
rnacentral:rRNA from 1 species